UAUAGCGUGGAGGUGACGAGUUUAGACACCUUGGCUCCAGCUGCGGUCUUCUAUGAGGCAACUGAAGAAACUAAACAAGCUGUUCUAGCAGAUACAGUGGAUACCUGGAUUUCUAGUUUGAUCGGGGUAUCAUCUGAAUACUCAUUCACAGCAUACGACUACGGCGGCCACAACGUCAUUGGUGCUCCCAACUUCUACCCCAGCUACGGCAACACCGACAACGCCUGGUGCCCUA